AGCCUCCGUCCGGGAGAGACGUACACGGCUCCUCCGCACCUUAAUUUAUUAAAUAUAUAUAUAUAUAUUUUUUUAAUUUGUAAUUUUUAUUUUAAUCGCGUCGUGUGCGGCCCUAUCCAUUCCUGCAAUCAUGGAGAGGGAAAAGGAACAAUUCCGUAAGCUAUUCAUUGGUGGUCUCAGCUUUGAAACAACAGAAGACAGUUUAAGAAAAUAUUAUGAACAAUGGGGAAAGCUUACAGACUGUGUGGUAAUGAGAGAUCCUGCAAGUAAACGAUCCAGGGGCUUUGGCUUUGUAACAUUUUCUUCUAUGAAUGAAGUUGACGCUGCAAUGUCAGCACGGCCACAUUCUAUUGAUGGCAGAGUAGUCGAGCCCAAAAGAGCUGUUGCAAGAGAGGAAUCCUCUAAACCUGGUGCCCAUGUUACAGUUAAAAAAUUAUUUGUUGGUGGAAUUAAGGAAGAUACAGAUGAACAUCACCUUAGAGAUUACUUUGAAGAAUAUGGAAAAAUUGAGAGCAUUGAAAUAAUUACAGACAAACAAUCUGGCAAAAAGAGGGGCUUUGGCUUCGUAACAUUUGAUGACCAUGAUCCAGUAGACAAAAUUGUCCUGCAAAAAUACCACACAAUCAAUGGACACAACGCAGAAGUAAGAAAGGCAUUAACUAGGCAAGAAAUGCAAGAGGUUCAGAGUACCCGACCUAGUAGAGGAGGUAACUUUGGUUUUGGAGAUGCACGAGGUGGUGGAAACUUUGGACCAGGACCUGGAAGCAACUUCAGAGGAGGCUCUGCAGAUGGUUAUGGUGGAGGACGUGGGUAUGGAGAUGGAUACAAUGGAUAUGGCGGAGGUCAAGGAGGUGGUAACUUUGGUGGUGGCCCAGGUUAUGGAGGUGGAAGAGGUGGUUAUGGUGGCGGCCCUGGUUACGGGAAUCAAGGAGGCGGCUAUGGUGGAGGAUAUGACAAUUAUGGAGGAGGAAAUUAUGGAGGUGGUAACUACAACGAAUUUGGCAACUACAACCAGCAGUCUUCAAAUUAUGGCCCAAUGAAGAGUGGUGGAAACUUCGGUGGUAGCAGGAGCAUGGGGGGACCAUAUGGUGGAGGCAACUAUGGUCCAGGAAGUGGUAGUGGAGGAAGCGGUGGUGGAUAUGGAGGCAGAAGUCGAUAUUAAUUUCAUAUUUUCCUCCUGGGUAUGUAUGUAUUUCUCGAUAAUAUUACUUUGUAAUUUGCAGAUACUUUAGCUACAGGUCUAAAUUUCUCAGGAUAGUAUUGUCUUUAAAUUGGUUAGCUGGAUAAUAAUCAUAACCUAUUCUUUUUACUCUUUACUUCUGUUGAAACAGGCUUCACUGUAUAAAUAGGAGAGGAUGAGAGCCCAGAGCUUUUGGUUUUGACCAUGGACAAGCAGUGUGUUUGAAAGGGACUAAACUUCAUCUCAACAAUGAAACUGCAUAGAUCCAUGUAUCUGGUGUUAACCCAUUGUUAAAAGGUGAAUCUGGAGCAGGUAAAAAUGAAAUUGAAGAAUUGAUUGCAGUGUUCAAAGUAAUUCUGCUGGUGCAAGAACACUUUGGCAAAAGGAAACCAUUUCUUUCGAAAAGCCGCAAUGAUGAGACCGAUGAUCCCUGUGUGGGAAAUCCAUAUAGUUUUGUAUACUAUUUUUUUUUUUUUUUUUAUAUUAAACAGGCAGGCACUGUUCUUGUGAAAUUUUUCACUUUGUAAUAAACUUUAUUUUUAUGAAA